rnacentral:snRNA from 1 species
AUCGCUUCUUGGCUUUUUGGCUAAGAUCAAGUUUAGUAUCUGUUCUUAUCAGUUUAAUAUCUCCUCUAUUUGACUGUACAUUAAAUAGACUUUUAGAAGGGGGAGAUGGAAGACGGGCUUGAGGGGUUAUGGAAAGGUAGAAACACCAACUUUUCACCUGGAGGAACUGAUUUAAGCUCCACAAUCAGACCUUAGAACCACU